rnacentral:rRNA from 1 species
GAGUUUGAUCCUGGCUCAGAACGUACGCUGGCGGCACGCCUAACACAUGCAAGUCGAACGCAGUAGCAAUACUGAGUGGCAGACGGGUGAGUAACAUGUGGGAAUCUGCCUUGUGGUUCAGGACAACAUUGGGAAACCGAUGCUAAUACUGGAUAAGCCCUUACGGGGAAAGUUUUAAUGCCAUAAGAUGAGCCCGCAUUUGAUUAGUUAGUUGGUGAGGUAAUGGCUCACCAAGACAAUGAUCAAUAGCUGAUCUGAGAGGAUGAUCAGCCACACUGGGACUGAGACACGGCCCAGACUCCUACGGGAGGCAGCAGUGGGGAAUCUUGCACAAUGGAGGAAACUCUGAUGCAGCGAUGCCGCGUGAGUGAAGAAGGCCUUUGGGUUGUAAAGCUCUUUUGUAGGGGAAGAUAAUGACUGUACCCUAAGAAUAAGGUCCGGCUAACUUCGUGCCAGCAGCCGCGGUAAUACGAAGGGACCUAGCGUAGUUCGGAAUUACUGGGCGUAAAGCGCGCGUAGGCCGUUGAGUUAGUUAAUUGUGAAAUCCCAAAGCUUAACUUUGGAACUGCAAUUAAAACUGCUCGACUAGAGUUUGAUAGAGGAAAAGCGGAAUACAUAGUGUAGAGGU